UGUCUACUCCCUUCGUCCAGAAAUAUUUGUCAUCAAAAUAGAUAAAAGGAUGUGUCUAAAUAUAUUUAGUUCUAGAUUCAUCUCCUUUUAUCCAUUUUGAUGGCAAAUAUUUUGGGACGAAGGGAGUAUAUG
rfam:Triticum aestivum genome assembly, contig: Triticum_aestivum_CS42_TGACv1_scaffold_576807_7BL